GUAGGGAAUCUUCCACAAUGGACGAAAGUCUGAUGGAGCAACGCCGCGUGAGUGAAGAAGGGUUUCGGCUCGUAAAACUCUGUUGUUAAAGAAGAACAUAUCUGAGAGUAACUGUUCAGGUAUUGACGGUAUUUAACCAGAAAGCCACGGCUAACUACGUGCCAGCAGCCGCGGUAAUACGUAGGUGGCAAGCGUUGUCCGGAUUUAUUGGGCGUAAAGCGAGCGCAGGCGGUUUUUUAAGUCUGAUGUGAAAGCCUUCGGCUCAACCGAAGAAGUGCAUCGGAAACUGGGAAACUUGAGUGCAGAAGAGGACAGUGGAACUCCAUGUGUAGCGGUGAAAUGCGUAGAUAUAUGGAAGAACACCAGUGGCGAAGGCGGCUGUCUGGUCUGUAACUGACGCUGAGGCUCGAAAGUAUGGGUAGCAAACAGGAUUAGAUACCCUGGUAGUCCAUACCGUAAACGAUGAAUGCUAAGUGUUGGAGGGUUUCCGCCCUUCAGUGCUGCAGCUAACGCAUUAAGCAUUCCGCCUGGGGAGUACGGCCGCAAGGCUGAAACUCAAAGGAAUUGACGGGGGCCCGCACAAGCGGUGGAGCAUGUGGUUUAAUUCGAAGCUACGCGAAGAACCUUACCAGGUCUUGACAUACUAUGCAAAUCUAAGAGAUUAGACGUUCCCUUCGGGGACAUGGAUACAGGUGGUGCAUGGUUGUCGUCAGCUCGUGUCGUGAGAUGUUGGGUUAAGUCCCGCAACGAGCGCAACCCUUAUUAUCAGUUGCCAGCAUUAAGUUGGGCACUCUGGUGAGACUGCCGGUGACAAACCGGAGGAAGGUGGGGAUGACGUCAAAUCAUCAUGCCCCUUAUGACCUGGGCUACACACGUGCUACAAUGGAUGGUACAACGAGUUGCGAACUCGCGAGAGUAAGCUAAUCUCUUAAAGCCAUUCUCAGUUCGGAUUGUAGGCUGCAACUCGCCUACAUGAAGUCGGAAUCGCUAGUAAUCGCGGAUCAGCAUGCCGCGGUGAAUACGUUCCCGGGCCUUGUACACACCGCCCGUCACACCAUGAGAGUUUGUAACACCCAAAGUCGGUGGGGUAACCUUUUAGGAACCAGCCGCCUAAGGUGGGACAGAUGAUUAGGGUGAAGUCGUAACAAGGUAGCCGUAGGAGAACCUGCGGUGUCC
rnacentral:rRNA from 1 species